UAGUCCUAGCCGUAAACGAUGUCCACUAGGUGUCGGGGGUCCUACCCCCUCGGUGCCGCAGCUAACGCAUUAAGUGGACCACCUGGGGAGUACGCUCGCAAGGGUGAAACUCAAAGGAAUUGACGGGGGCCCGCACAAGCGGUGGAGCAUGUGGUUUAAUUCGAUGCAACGCGAAGAACCUUACCUGGGCUUGACAUCUAGAGGACAGGUGUAGAGAUAUACCCCUUCUUCGGACCUCUAGGCAGGUGCUGCAUGGCUGUCGUCAGCUCGUGUCGUGAAAUGUUGGGUUAAGUCCCGCAACGAGCGCAACCCUUGCCCUUAGUUGCCAGCACGUAAUGGUGGGAACUCUAGGGGGACUGCCGGUGACAAACCGGAGGAAGGUGGGGAUGACGUCAAGUCAUCAUGGCCCUUACGUCCAGGGCUACACACGUGCUACAAUGGCGUAUACAGAGGGCUGCGAACCCGCGAGGGGGAGCCAAUCCCAAAAAGUACGUCUCAGUUCGGAUCGUAGUCUGC
rnacentral:rRNA from 1 species